rnacentral:rRNA from 1 species
UACGGGGGGAGCAAGCGUUGUUCGGAUUUACUGGGCGUAAAGGGCGCGUAGGCGGUCAGCACAAGUCAGUUGUGAAAUCUCCGGGCUUAACUCGGAAAGGUCAACUGAUACUGUGCGACUAGAGUGCAGAAGGGGCAACUGGAAUUCCUAGUGUAGAGGUGAAAUUCGUAGAUAUUAGGAAGAACACCGGUGGCGAAGGCGGCCCACUGGAUCGGUACUGACGCUGAGGUGCGAAAGCGUGGGGAGCGAACAGG